GGUCCCUGAGCACGUAUAGCUCAGCCCUUGGCCGAGCUGAGGCAGAUGGCUGAUGAAGGGCAGGCCUCAGUGAUGCUCCCGGUUCCGCCCCAGAGGCGCCCCCAUGCCAUCUGUUCUUUGGGCUGCACGCAGAGAAGGGCCCGGCCUAUAGAGAGGUCUAUGCUGACCUGUUGAAUGACUCAAUGAACUUGGGAAGAAACGGAGGGAUGGGCCAACAUGGGCUCUCGUCCCGAGGCAGCGCAGGCCGAGGCGCAGCUGUCUGCCUCCUCAGGAGACCCGGAGCUGGUAGCCAAGUAGGCCGUGCUCCACGACACUCACCUGUAUAGAAGCAGAGAAGCCAGGUGCCCAGCAGUGGGGCAAAGGUCUGGCCAGGCUUGGUCACCAGGGCAACCAUACCAAAGAGAAGCGCCGAGGCUGCCUGUUUGCGAUGGUUCAGCACCAGGUCCUCAUCCACCAGGUGUACGAAUGUUUUGACUGCAUGUACAUCUGUGUAGAGGCCAAAAGGGCACUGGAGCCCGUGGAACUGGAGUGACAAACAGCUGUGAACCACCAUGUAUGUAAAUGGAGAGCAAACCUGUGCCCUCCGGAAGAGCAGCCAGUGCUCCUAACUGCUGAGCCGUUCUCUCCAGCCUGCUUUUCACAUGCCCUUCAAGGCAAGUAUUGUAGUCCCUUGGUGUUCAUAGGAGUUGAGCCCAGCACCUUUAUAAAACGGCUGUAUCUGUAUAGGAUCUAUAUACAUAUGCCCAUAUACUAUUAUUGUGUUUUAGUUUUUAAAUUUUGUGUCAGUAGCUCUAGAUGGCCUUGAACUCUUGAUCCUCCUGCUUUGUCUCCUGAGUGUUGGGAUUACAGCCCUAACUACCAUACCAAGCUUUAUUUUAUAUUUUUACUUUAUUUAUUCUUGAGACAGGGUCUCUCUGUGUAGCCCUGGCUGUACUAGAACUCUCCAUGUAGAUCAGGCUGGCCUCAGGCUUAUAAAGAUCUACCUGCCUCUGCCUCUAAAGCACAGGAUUAAAGGGGUGUGUCAUUACACUUAGCCUAUUUUGUUUUUGUUUUGAGACAGGAUCUUACUAUGUAGGCCUGGCUGGCAUCAAACUCACAGAAAUCAGUCUGUCUUUUCCUCCUGGGUGCUGGGAUUAAAGGCCUACACUGCCAUGCUCAACCUCUUUUUAUUUAAAAAAAUUUUUGACACAAGUUUUUAUACAUGCAAGGCUAGCCUCAAACUUGCUGUGUAGCUUAGGCUGACCUUGAACUUCUGAUUCUAACUGUACCUCCCAAGUUCAUGCUAAGAUUGAAAGCAUACACCACCACACCCGGCUCAUCACACCCUAUUUAUCAGGUGCUGGAGAAUCCAGCCUGGCAGAGCGUCCUAUAGGUUCUACCAACUGAGCUACAUCCCCAAACCUCUCUUUAAAUUGUCGCUUUUUUU